AUUACUUCUCCCUCUCUCAGGACUCAGCGGGGCUACAAAUCCCAUGCCUGCGGUUCAGCAUCCCAUGGGCACAGUCCUCAGCCCACCGGGUUAGCGGCCCUCACCUCGGGCUCUUUGUCUCUGUGCUCCUAGUCACACCCGGAACCUCGCCAGCUCUCAGAGCACCUAGAGGAGGAACUCCGCAGUUGUAGCUGAGGAGGCUGAGGCUUGUUUACUGUCACCGUGGAAACUCCCAGGCGCCAUUCCAGAUAGGGCCUGGUCCACAAUUCCCUCCUGUGUAGAGCCUGGGGAAGCCCCGCGAUCCCUAGCUCUCUACCCCUGCUCAGCCCACCUCCAAGUACCUGGGAACAGUAGCAAGGACCUGGGUUUUGCUGGAUCAAAGUGAUAAGGGGAGGAGUUUGCGAGUCUCGGCACCAGGUCCCUGUAGGCUGGCUUCCUAGAAGUUUGUGUACGUGCUGGUCAAUCCCUGGAACUUGGACUGGGAAGAAUUUACCCUUGGAAACAGAGCUUCUGCCAAGUAUGCCGGAACCAAGGAGAGCCAACAUCCCAGUAGAAAUGAUGAGUUUACACUUCACAUUUUGUCCUUCAUUGCUCUAUCCUUCUGAGCUCCAUCCAAAGAAGACUUUUCCACUUUCCCGUGGGUUCCGGGCAUGGAUCUGUGUUGUGGCUGUGCCCAUGUCUAUGAUACAUCCACUCAGGACGUCAGUCACUGAGACUUUCCUAUGUUCCCUACGUAUAAUAAACCCAAAAGGCAUGAAAGUCAGCCUACAACACAGAUUCCUGCACAUCCAUAUUAUUGUGGCUUAAUUCUUAGUAGCCAAAUCAUCUUAGAUGUCCAUCAGUAGGGGACUGGACAAGGAAAAGGUGACAUUUGCACCCACCAUUAUUUUAUUCAUGUAUAAAGGAGGACUGAGCAUGGGGAGAUGGCUAGGUCAGUGAAGUGCCUGCCAGGUGUGGAUGCCACAGCAGCACACGAAAGCCAGGCCUGACUGAGCACAUCUGUAACUCCAGCACUUUGUGGAGCAGACGCAGCAGAGCCCAUGGGUUUGCUGGCCAGACUGCUUAGUGAGAGAAUCUGGCUUAAAAAAAUAAGGCAGGAGACAUGAGAAGACACCCAACACUGAUCCCUAGCCUACAUACACACACACACACACACACACACACACACACACACACACACACACACACACAUGGGAAAAUAAAAAAAGACAAAACAGGAGAAACACUGAAUGUCUUCAAUGUCAGAGUUUUAAAAAAAAUCUAGAGGCACAUAAAAAGAACAUGUUUUCCCAGUGUGCAUGUCCGCAGAAAAAAAGCCAUGGUUACAAGAACUUAACCAUAGCUGGGCUGUGGUGGUGCCCAUCUUUAAUCCCAACACUCAGUUGGAUCUCUGAGUUCAAGGCCAGGCUGGUUUAUAGAGCAAGUUCCAGGAAAGCCAGGGCUACACAGAGAACCUCUGUGUUGAAAUUAAAACAAAACAAAACAAAACAAAGCAAAGCAAAACAAAACAAAACAACCCACAAGAAUUUAGCCAUGGAAACAGGGCUUCUGCCAAGUAUGGCCAGGACCAAGGAAAGCCAACAUCCCAGUAGAAAUGAUGAGUUUCCACUUCACAUUUGCUUCUCAUUGCUUUUACAGUUUUUUUUUGACAGUGUUCUGUAGCUAUUUUUUCCAAACUGAAACUUUCCCUAAGAGGAGGAGGCUUUUAGACUCUUGAAGAAAAUUUACCAGGCUCAAGAAAAAUAGGGGACAGAAAAUUAAAGAUUCCGCCAAGGGUAUAUGAGC
ensembl:lncRNA